UUUAAACAGCCCCCCCACCACCUCCAUUACGCCAUUUAUCGAACCUCACGCAGGAAAAGGUAGUGAGGACUAAGGAGGCCUCCUCAACCUCAGCCUUCACCUCGCUCUCUCCCUCCAUUCCCUCCAGCGUUUGGCCACCAUGAGCCGAUUUCUGUCAGCCGCAAACCGAAGCCUGCUUGGGCGGAGGAGGAGCGCCCGCGUCGCGGAUGAGAGCUCUCUCGAGGGAGCCGAGCAUGGCCACGACGAGGACCACCGCCGUGGGGGUUGGCUUGGCAUUUCAACAGUUCUAGCAAUGGCGCGGAUGCCUCUCGAGCUUGUGUUGUGCAUCAUGGGUCAGACCGAGGAUGGGGGCGAGCUUAUCAUCACAGCCUCUGACAUGGAUGAACUCAUGGUACGUGAUGGCAUGCGCUACGCGAUUUAUGUCUAGGAUCUUGCCCUAACAUGAUCCAUGUCUUCGUGAAAAUUAUUGAAAGCAAGAUCACAAUACCAGGUUGUACGUUCUUCAGAUAUAUAUUAUCUUUGGUGGAUGGAAGUACAUUUCUGAAUUAAUGUUGUGAGGCUUGGUUUGGCUUCCUUGGAGUUUUUUGCUCUCCCUUUUCUCAAGGAAGAAUAAGUCAUGAAGUUCUUCUCAGUUUUCAGAGUGUUUCUUUAAAUCUAUGAGUUUUUCUCCUCGUAGAAGAUGG
rnacentral:lncRNA from 1 species